AGUGAACGCUGGCGGUAGGCCUAACACAUGCAAGUCGAACGGCAGCACAGUAAGAGCUUGCUCUUACGGGUGGCGAGUGGCGGACGGGUGAGGAAUACAUCGGAAUCUACUUUUUCGUGGGGGAUAACGUAGGGAAACUUACGCUAAUACCGCAUACGACCUACGGGUGAAAGCAGGGGAUCUUCGGACCUUGCGCGAUUGAAUGAGCCGAUGUCGGAUUAGCUAGUUGGCGGGGUAAAGGCCCACCAAGGCGACGAUCCGUAGCUGGGCUGAGAGGAUGGUCAGCCACACUGGAACUGAGACACGGCCCAGGCUCCUACGGGAGGCAGCAGUGGGGAAGAUUGGACAAUGGGCGCAAGCCUGAUCCAGCCAUACCGCGUGGGUGAAGAAGGCCUUCGGGUUGUAAAGCCCUUUUGUUGGGAAAGAAAAGCAGCAGGUUAAUACCCCGCUGUUCUGACGGUACCCAAAGAAUAAGCACCGGCUAACUUCGU
rnacentral:rRNA from 1 species